rnacentral:lncRNA from 1 species
GACAGAGCCCACUUGAGGGUUUCUUUCCCCAUCAGCAGCAUCAACUGUUUUGAAACCACAUACAGCCAAUAAUCUCAGCUCCUGCCAAUAAUCUCAGCUACUUGGGAGGCUGAGGCAGGAGGAUCAAUUGAGCCCAGGAGUUCGAGGCCACGGUGAGCCAGGAACUCACCACUGCACUUUAGCCUGAGCGACAAAGAGAUAACCCAUAUCUUAAAAACAACAGCAACAAAACAACAAACAAACCAGAUACACGUGAAACGUCAGCCAACAGGGUGGUAGAUUAAUCUCACUGGUUUGGGCCUGGGUCCUGUGCCAUGUACUCACGUUUUGAUUUUUGGCAAGUCACAUAAUCUCCUUGGCCCUCGUUUUUGUUAGUGAAAAGUGGAGAUAAGAUCUGUCCCGGCUACUUGACUGAGCUAUGGAG